rnacentral:SRP_RNA from 1 species
GCUGGGUGUCAUGGCACAUACCUGUAGUUCCAGCUACCAGAAGGCUGAGGUGGGAGGAUUGCUUGAGCCCAGGAGUUUGAAGUUGCAGUGAGCUGUGAUUGUGCCACUGUACUCCAGCCUGGGCAACAGAGCAAGACCCCACUCCAA